CUCCGUANGUGAACCUGCGGAGGGAUCAUUACACAAAUAUGAAGGCGGGCNGGAACCUCUCGGGGUUACAGCCUUGCUGAAUUAUUCACCCUUGUCUUUUGCGUACUUCUUGUUUCCUUGGUGGGUUCGCCCACCACUAGGACAAACAUAAACCUUUUGUAAUUGCAAUCAGCGUCAGUAACAAAUUAAUAAUUACAACUUUCAACAACGGAUCUCUUGGUUCUGGCAUCGAUGAAGAACGCAGCAAAAUGCGAUAAGUAGUGUGAAGUGCAGAAUUCAGUGAAUCAUCGAAUCUUUGAACGCACAUUGCGCCCUUUGGUAUUCCAAAGGGCAUGCCUGUUCGAGCGUCAUUUGUACCCUCAAGCUUUGCUUGGUGUUGGGCGUCUUGUCUCUAGCUUUGCUGGAGACUCGCCUUAAAGUAAUUGGCAGCCGGCCUACUGGUUUCGGAGCGCAGCACAAGUCGCACUCUCUAUCAGCAAAGGUCUAGCAUCCAUUAAGCCUUUUUUUCAACUUUUGACCUCGGAUCAGGUAGGGAUACCCGCUGAACUUAAGCAUAUCA
rnacentral:rRNA from 1 species